rnacentral:tRNA from 1 species
AAAGAACUAGUUAAAACAUAACGCCAGCCUGUCAGACUGGAAUUUCUAGUAUAUAAACCCUAGCGUUCUUUA